CAGCUUUUUACUCUAGAAUUCACUGUCGUCCCGCCCAGCUUCCUCCUUCACCAACAUGCAAGUUCUUUUCCUUCCCUGCCAGCCACAUAGACAGAUGGGAGAGGCAGGCGCGGCCUACGUUGUCACUCCUGCAGGUCCU